UACGUAGGGCGCAAGCGUUGUCCGGAAUUAUUGGGCGUAAAGAGCUCGUAGGCGGUCUGUUACGUCCGCUGUGAAAACCCAGGGCUUAACCCUGGGCUUGCAGUGGAUACGGGUAGACUAGAGGCAGGUAGGGGAGAAUGGAAUUCCCGGUGUAGCGGUGAAAUGCGCAGAUAUCAGGAGGAACACCGGUGGCGAAGGCGGGUCUCUGGGCCGAUACUGACGCUGAGGAGCGAAAGCGUGGGGAGCGAACAGG
rnacentral:rRNA from 1 species